ensembl:lncRNA novel transcript
AGUCCCUGGGAAAUGGGAGCCUCCGUCCUGUUCUCUCUGCUGCUUGGCUGGGCUGGGCUGGGCAGGGCAGGAAAGCCAGGGUCCCCACCCCUCCUGGAGCAGAGCACUCCGCGCUGGCUGUUCCGGGGGCCCGGGAGGGCAGAGCUGUCAGAAGGUCUGUCUGGCAUCAUUAGGGGAGCUGUCUGUCUCUCUAUCCCUGGCUGGCGUGGCCCGGCAGGAGGCGAGGCUGAUAUUUUCAGGAGACCUGGUGAUUUGACCUGACACCUGUCAGUCAGUCUCCGGUAUGUCAUUAUCAGCAGUGUGAAAAUGGACUCACUCCCACCCUGUCUGGAUCUGGACAAGAGCCCACCACCCCGUUGGCAGUAGUCAGGCAGCUCUGCUUCUAAGAACCUGCAGCUUUUGGAAGAAAGGCACCCUGUGGUUUCAGAAGCCCAAGAGUCCCUGCAGCUCAGCACCCCCAGCCUGGUGCUUGGCAGAUGACUGCCUCCUCACUUAGCAGAGGGAGCAGAAAACUGUGUAUUCUUCAGAACAUCAUGAUAACCUGGCACUCAUGGGUCUAUGGAGAGAAUUCAGGGGGUCUGGGAGCUUGGAUGGAAUAAAUUUGCAUCUUUAUUUUCAGGAAAGUUUUACUGAAGUUUAGCAUUUUCUUUCAUUAUAAAUGGAAUCAGUAUAACCCAAUAGUAUGAGCAGUUACUUCUCCGCAACAUCAAAGUGGCUGCAGAUAUCUCAAAAUAGUAUUUACAUUUAUCAUAACUUAGAAAUUUGGGUGGUAAUUAAACCAGCAACUAUUCUUUGUUUAAUGCAUUAAGAAAGAAGUAUGUAUACUAUCAUAUCUCAAUUAAAAAUAUUUUAAGAACUGGAUUUUAACUU